GGAAAACUGACCAGGCAAUGGCGACAGCUUUAAUCUAAUCUUCUUCAUAAAUAGACCACGGAUAAUUCCAUUAUGUUACUCCCUGCUUGAAUCUACAGCAAUACACAAGCUGACCGCAGGAUGCUUCACUGCAUAAUCGUACGUUUGGCACCGUCCAAGGUAUUUUUAAGUAACAUCGCAACGGUCAUUGGACCAACACCACCCGGAACAGGAGUGAUCCAUCCAGCCACCUU
rnacentral:misc_RNA from 1 species